rnacentral:rRNA from 1 species
AGUGAACGCUGGCGGUGGGCCUAACACAUGCAAGUCGAACGGCAGCACAGGAGAGCUUGCUCUCUGGGUGGCGAGUGGCGGACGGGUGAGGAAUACAUCGGAAUCUACUCUGUCGUGGGGGAUAACGUAGGGAAACUUACGCUAAUACCGCAUACGACCUACGGGUGAAAGCAGGGGAUCUUCGGACCUUGCGCGAUUGAAUGAGCCGAUGUCGGAUUAGCUAGUUGGCGGGGUAAAGGCCCACCAAGGCGACGAUCCGUAGCUGGUCUGAGGGGAUGAUCAGCCACACUGGAACUGAGAAACGGUCCAGACUCCUACGGGAGGCAGAAGGGGGGAAUAUUGGACAAUAGGCGCAAGCCUGAUCCAGCCAUACCGCGUGGGUGAAGAAGGCCUUCGGGUUGUAAAGCCCUUUUGUUGGGAAAGAAAUCCAGCUGGCUAAUACCCGGUUGGGAUGACGGUACCCAAAGAAUAAGCACCGGCUAACUUCGUGCCAGCCGCCGCAGUAA